UAUGGUGCAGGUGGACUCCUUGUUCUCUGGUUGAAUGCUUUUCCCUCUAGGCUUUCUGCCUCAUAUUGACACUUAAAGUUAAAGUCAAACCUUCAUGCUCAGGGGUGCCUGGGAACAUUCAGCCUUCCAUCUUCAGUGCUCAAGAUGAGAAGAGACUGAAUAAGCUGGACAAAAUGUAAGCUGUUUGUUGGCACAGAUGUGAGGUGGAGAGCUGAAGCCUCAGGGAUACAAUAGUACAGGUUUAACUGCAGACUAUCGUGCUUCAACCAAGCAGCCACACUUCAUGGUGACAGAAUGUGUGCUUUGCUAACAGUU